rnacentral:rRNA from 1 species
UACGAAGGGGGCGAGCGUUGUUCGGAAUUACUGGGCGUAAAGGGCGCGUAGGUGGCGCCGUAAGUCAGGUGUGAAAUCUCGGGGCUCAACCCCGAAACUGCACUUGAUACUGCGGCGCUCGAGUACUGGAGAGGAGAUUGGAAUUUACGGUGUAGCAGUGAAAUGCGUAGAUAUCGUAAGGAAGACCAGUGGCGAAGGCGAAUCUCUGGACAGUUACUGACACUGAGGCACGAAGGCCAGGGGAGCAAACGGG